rnacentral:rRNA from 1 species
UACGAAGGGAGCUAGCGUUGUUCGGAAUUACUGGGCGUAAAGGGCGCGUAGGCGGCUUUGUAAGUCAGAUGUGAAAGCCCCAGGCUCAACCUGGGAACUGCAUUUGAUACUGCAAGGCUAGAGAUCGAGAGAGGAAAGUGGAAUUACGAGUGUAGAAGUGAAAUUCGUAGAUAUUCGUAGGAACACCGGUGGCGAAGGCGACUUUCUGGCUCGAUACUGACGCUAAAGCGCGAAAGCGUGGGGAGCAAACAGG